rnacentral:rRNA from 1 species
AGCUUGACACUGAACAUUGAGCCUUGAUGUGUAGGAUAGGUGGGAGGCUUUGAAGUGUGGACGCCAGUCUGCAUGGAGCCGACCUUGAAAUACCACCCUUUAAUGUUUGAUGUUCUAACGUUGACCCGUGAUCCGGGUUGCGGACAGUGUCUGGUGGGUAGUUUGACUGGGGCGGUCUCCUCCUAAAGAGUAACGGAGGAGCACGAAGGUUGGCUAAUCCUGGUCGGACAUCAGGAGGUUAGUGCAAUGGCAUAAGCCAGC